rnacentral:rRNA from 1 species
GGGGGAUAUUGCAUAAUGGAGGAAACUCUGAUGCAGCAACGCCGCGUGAGGGAAGACGGUUUUCGCAUUGUAAACCUCUGUCCUUGGUGACGAAACAAAUGACGGUAGCCAAGGAGGAAGCUCCGGCUAACUACGUGCCAGCAGCCGCGGUAAUACGUAGGGAGCAAGCGUUGUCCGGAUUUACUGGGUGUAAAGGGUGCGUAGGCGGCUCUGCAAGUCAGGCGUGAAAUAUAUGGGCUUAACCCAUAGACUGCGUUUGAAACUGUGGAGCUUGAGUGAAGUAGAGGUAGGCGGAAUUCCCGGUGUAGCGGUGAAAUGCGUAGAGAUCGGGAGGAACACCAGUGGCGAAGGCGUCUUUCUGGACUGUGUCUGACACUGAGGCGCGAAAGCCAGGGGAGCGAACG